rnacentral:rRNA from 1 species
UACGUAGGUGGCAAGCGUUGUCCGGAUUUAUUGGGUUUAAAGGGUGCGUAGGCGGUCUUAUAAGUCAGUGGUGAAAUACGGCAGCUCAACUGUCGAGGUGCCAUUGAUACUGUAGGACUUGAGUACAGACGAGGUAGGCGGAAUUGACGGUGUAGCGGUGAAAUGCUUAGAUAUCGUCAAGAACACCGAUAGCAAAGGCAGCUUACUAGGCUGUAACUGACGCUGAGGCACGAAAGUGUGGGGAUCAAACAGG